CAACUGUAGAAAAAGAAAAAUACUUUCUGUUUAGGUUAUAUAUAUUUUGCUUUUUCCGAUAGUAGUGUGGCAAGUGCAUCCGUAUGGAUUAAAGAAAAUUAAGUGACUGUAAAAUGCCUUCUCAAGAGAUUGCAGUUCCGCAACCCCCAGCAACCGAAGUCGAAGAAAAUGCACCUUCGUCCCAACCUAUCGUUGGAAUUAUUUAUCCUCCUCCAGAAGUUAGAAAUAUUGUUGACAAAACUGCUAGCUUCGUAGCUAGGAAUGGACCAGAAUUCGAAUCGAGAAUUAGACAAAAUGAAUUGGGAAAUCCGAAAUUUAAUUUCUUAAAUUUUGGUGAUCCCUAUCAUGCGUACUAUCAACAUAAAGUUAAAGAAUUUAAAGAAGGCAAAGCACAGGAACCAUCUGUUGGUACGGGUGCUGGGAAAACUGUAAAUCUUACUGCACAUCAAAAGCAACAAGAGAUUUUGAAGCAAGUUGAACAGCCUUUUGUUCCUAAAGAUCCACCUACAGAAUUUGAAUUUAUCGCUGAUCCUCCUUCUAUUUCUGCAUUAGAUCUAGAUAUUGUCAAAUUGACAGCACAAUUUGUAGCACGUAAUGGACGUCAAUUUUUAACCAAUUUAAUGAACAGGGAGCAACGUAAUUUUCAGUUUGAUUUCUUACGUCCUCAACAUUCAUUGUUUCAAUACUUUACAAAACUUUUGGAACAGUAUACUAAAGUAUUGAUCCCACCUAAAGAUUUAUUACCACGACUGAAAGAUGAAGUUUAUAACAUGGAUAAGAUUUUGGAACAAGUUAAGUAUCGUGCAGAAUGGCUGAAAUAUCAAGAAGCUCAAAGACGUAAAGAGGAGGAAGAAUUAGAGCGGGAGAGAGUCGCUUAUGCUCAAAUCGAUUGGCAUGAUUUUGUUGUUGUUGAAACUGUUGAUUAUCAACAAUUUGAAGUUGGUAAUUUUCCAGCACCGACGACUCCUGAUGAAGUCGGAGCUAGAGUUCUUAUGCAGGAGCGUAUAGAAGAAGGUGAAGAUGUUGAGAUGCAAAUUGACAGUGAUGGAGAAGAAGAAAUGCAAACUCGUACCGAUGGUGAAAAAGAUCGUGCGAAGGAUAACAAUCAGGUACAAGAUAUGGAGGAGGAUUCAAGUGAUGACGACGACGUGUCUCCACCAGGUGAUUCUCAUAAAUCUAAAGAUUCUAAGGUACGAGAUGCAAGUAUGCAACCUCCGCCAUUACCACCGACACCUGGUAACGUUGUCGUUAAAAAAGGAUAUGAUCCAAAGCAACAUGCUGUUAAAGCGGCUCGUCCAGUUGCUCCUGAUGAAUAUUUGAUUUCCCCGAUUACGGGAGAACGUAUACCUGCUAGUAAAGUGCAAGAGCAUAUGAGAAUAGGUUUAUUGGAUCCACGUUGGGUAGAACAACGGGAUAAACAUUUAGAUAAGUUAGCGCAGCAGACUGUGUUUGCUCCGGGUACUGCGAUUGAGGCCAGUCUUAAGCAACUCGCUGAAAGGCGUACUGAUAUAUUUGGUGUUGGUGAUGAAGAAACUGCGAUUGGUAAAAAGAUCGGUGAAGAAGAUAAGAAGAAAGAUGACAAAGUUACAUGGGAUGGUCAUACGUCUAGUGUUGAAGCAGCGACUAGAGCAGCUCGAGCAAAUAUUACCUUAGAAGAACAAAUUCAUCAAAUACACAAAGUUAAAGGACUUCUUCCUGAUGAAGAGAAAGAAAAGAUUGGUCCGAAACCUGCCAAUCGUGCAGCUGAACUUUCCCAUAUGGCUGCUGUUGCCUCUAAGCCUCAAGCUACUUUGAAAGCACCUCCUAAACCACCAGCACCGAAACCGAUACCAGUUCCAGCUCAACCACCACCACCACCAGCCAUGAGUAUGCCUACAAUGGCAAUUCCACAACCAAUGAUGCCGCAGCCACCAAUGAUGAUGAUGGCUCCUAUGCCUCCAAUAAGACCACCACCACUUAUGACACCCACUAUGUCACCAUUUAUGCCAACACCACCACCUAUGCAACCACCAAUGGCAUCAGCUAUCGGUAUCAAGCAUACUGCGGAACCUAUGGAGGAAGAACCCCAGGCUAAGAAAUUGCGUUCUGAAGAUACAUUGAUUCCUGAACAAGCAUUCCUUGCUAGAAAUAAGGGUCCGGUACAGUUGAAUAUUGCUGUGCCCAUGAUGACAGAAAAGGCGGAAUGGAAAUUAAAUGGGCAAACAUUAAAUAUCACUUUGCAAUUGAGUGAUACUGUCGUAACUAUGAAAGCUUUGAUUCAUGAACAAACUGGUAUGCCUCCAGGCAAACAAAAGUUGCAAUACGAGGGAAUGUUCUUUAAAGAUGGUAACACACUUGCUUACUAUAAUUUAUCAUCUGGAAAUGUCAUCAAUCUUCUUCCUAAGGAAAGAGGUGGCAGAAAAAAAUAAGUGAUCAAUUCUAUAAGUGGUAACACGUACCUACCAAAGAACCUGGAUUAUCUCCCGUAAAUGCGAUUAUCCUGCAAGCCUCAUUGAAGCCAAACCUUUCAACAAAGUAAGGCGAUAUCGGACCGAUAUUGUUGUAGGAAGAAAUCGGUUUGCCUAAUUUUUUUCUUAAAUCCGUUUUCUUCAAAAUUGUAUACAAUUUACCUCUAGUAAACCAUCGUCCCAAUCUUUCGUACGAA